AUUGAACGCUGGCGGAAUGCUUUACACAUGCAAGUCGAACGGCAGCACGGACUUCGGUCUGGUGGCGAGUGGCGAACGGGUGAGUAAUGUAUCGGAACGUGCCCAGUCGUGGGGGAUAACGUAGUGAAAAUUACGCUAAUACCGCAUACGAUCUAUGGAUGAAAGCGGAGGAUCGCAAGACCUCGCGCGAUUGGAGCGGCCGAUAUCAGAUUAGGUAGUUGGUGGGGUAAAGGCCCACCAAGCCAACGAUCUGUAGCUGGUCUGAGAGGACGACCAGCCACACUGGAACUGAGACACGGUCCAGACUCCUACGGGAGGCAGCAGUGGGGAAUUUUGGACAAUGGGCGAAAGCCUGAUCCAGCCAUUCCGCGUGCAGGAUGAAGGCCCUCGGGUUGUAAACUGCUCUUGUACAGAACGAAAAGGUUUCUACUAAUACUAGGAGCUCAUGACGGUACUGUAAGAAUAAGCACCGGCUAACUACGUGCCAGCAGCCGCCGUAA
rnacentral:rRNA from 1 species